rnacentral:rRNA from 1 species
GACGAACGCUGGCGGCGUGCCUAAUACAUGCAAGUCGAACGGUCUUUUCUAUGGAAGCUUGCUUCCACUGAGAAGAUAGUGGCGAACGGGUGAGUAACACGUGGGUAACCUGCCCAUAAGAGGGGGAUAACAUCCGGAAACGGGUGCUAAUACCGCAUAGGUUUCUUGAUCGCAUGAUCGAGAAAGGAAAGACGGCCUUUGUGCUGUCGCUUAUGGAUGGACCCGCGGCGUAUUAGUUAGUUGGUGAGGUAACGGCUCACCAAGACGAUGAUACGGAGCCGACCUGAGAGGGUGAUCGGCCACAUUGGGACUGAGACACGGCCCAAACUCCUACGGGAGGCAGCAGUAGGGAAUCUUCCGCAAUGGACGAAAGUCUGACGGAGCAACGCCGCGUGAGUGAAGAAGGUUUUCGGAUCGUAAAACUCUGUUGUUAGAGAAGAACGUUGCAUAGAGUGGAAAAUUAUGCAAGUGACGGUAUCUAACCAGAAAGGGACGGCUAACUACGUGCCAGCCGCCGCAGUAACAC